UGGGGAAUAUUGGACAAUGGGGGGAACCCUGAUCCAGCCAUGCCGCGUGUGUGAAGAAGGCCUUAUGGUUGUAAAGCACUUUAAGCGAGGAGGAGGGUACUGGUAUUAAUACUACCAGGUACUGGACGUUACUCGCAGAAUAAGCACCGGCUAACUCUGUGCCAGCAGCCGCGGUAAUACAGAGGGUGCGAGCGUUAAUCGGAAUUACUGGGCGUAAAGCGCGCGUAGGUGGUUCGUUAAGUUGAAUGUGAAAGCCCCGGGCUCAACCUGGGAACUGCAUCCAAAACUGGCGAGCUAGAGUAGGGCAGAGGGUGGUGGAAUUUCCUGUGUAGCGGUGAAAUGCGUAGAUAUAAGAAGGAACACCAGUGGCGAAGGCGACCACCUGGGCUCAUACUGACACUGAGGUGCGAAAGCGUGGGGAGCAAACAGG
rnacentral:rRNA from 1 species